GAAAGCGCUAGGGGUAUUAUAGAUAAAAGAAGAGUCUGGGAGUUUAGUAGCGUGAGCGAAAAAGGCGAAGAAGAGAGUAGUACCGAAAGGGAAGGAGAGCACUGGCACAGUGUUUGAAUUAAAGUACAGUAAAGCACAAAUGAAGUUUGGUACCUUUUGCAUUAUGGUUGUAUGAAAGAGAUAGCAAAUAUUGUGUCCCGAAGUGGUGUGAUCUACCUUUGAGAGGAAGGAUAACGUCGUAAAGUUAUGGGGUUACUUGAAGGUAGGGGCGAGAUACCUGUCGCACACCGUGAUAGCUGGUUCCCGCCGAAAGGCGCCUUAGUGCUGUAGCCAGCAGAUGCUAUUUGGUAGGAAGGACUGAGGGCAGUAUUGGCUAGCUGGGGCAUGGGGGUUAAGCUCCCUGCCUUCGUUAUGGUUGAAACCUUGAGGGUGGCUAAACUUUCAAGUAGGCUUUUAAGUGGCCAUCUUCGAUCUUGUUACAAAGAAGAGCGGACCUGAUUAAAAUUCUUAGGCCAUAAACCUUAAAGCUUAGGGGGGCGUUUUGUAAAACUUAAAACAGGGGUGAGUAUUUAUAAAUUAGUAGUCUAAUAGGGGUUUGAAAAGGGGAAACUUACAGGACUUCCUUAGGAAUCAUUUUCUCCUCAUAAAAAAUACUAAUAAGGAACUCGGCAAAUUUAGUCAUCACGCCUGUUUAUCAAAAACAUGGCCCUUUGCCCGACUCAUAUUGGGUCGUACCUGCACAAUGGCCCCCAUAAGGGGCUAAAUUGCCGCGGUACCCUGACCGUGCGAAGGUAGCGAAAUAAUUUGCCUAUUAAUUGUUGGCCAGAAAUGAAUGGUGUGACGCUGGUGGCGCUGUCUCGUUAGUAUUGAUUUGAAUUUGACCUCUGGGUGAAAAGGCCCAGAUAGACCUGAAAGACGAUAAGACCCUGUCGAACUUUAAGUAGAUCCGUUUUAGGGAAAACGGUUAAGCUUUUGGUUGGGAAAACCGGAGGUAAGAAAAAACACCUCCUCCCUUUGAGACACCCGUUAUUUAUGGGGUAAUAGAGAGUUUACCUUAAGGGCAAUUGGCCUAAUGGAAAGUAAGGUGAUGGUGGAAUAAGAGUCCGACAGGACAUAGUUAACUAAUAAAACGAACCUAAAGACCCGUCUUAUGGUCGGGAAGCUAUUAACAAGGAAUAGUUACCGCAGGGAUAACAGCGUAAUCCCCCCGGCGAGACCACAUUAAUGGGGGGGUUUGCGACCUCGAUGUUGGCUUAGGGCUUCCUAGGGGCGAAGAGGCUCCUAAGGGUUGGUCUGUUCGACCAUUAAAGCCCCACGUGAGCUGAGUUCAGAUCGGCGUGAGCUAGGUCGGUUUCUAUCUUCAGGGGGCGUCAAACGGUUGUACGAAAGGACCCUGUUUGCGGAAUAAUUCUGACAGCGGAGAGAGAGUCUAAUUCGU
rnacentral:rRNA from 1 species